GCCUCCCAGAGGAGGCAUUGAAGGUGUAGCUGCUGUGUCGCAUGUGUUAUCAAUAAGUGGUGAAGAGGAGAGAGGCUAGUCUAUGGUCAGUGUUCUGACCUGUGAACAUCUGAAUGAUUAGUAACCUAACACU